rnacentral:rRNA from 1 species
AGUGAACGCUGGCGGUAGGCCUAACACAUGCAAGUCGAACGGCAGCACAGUAAGAGCUUGCUCUUACGGGUGGCGAGUGGCGGACGGGUGAGGAAUACAUCGGAAUCUACUUUUUCGUGGGGGAUAACGUAGGGAAACUUACGCUAAUACCGCAUACGACCUACGGGUGAAAGCAGGGGAUCUUCGGACCUUGCGCGAUUGAAUGAGCCGAUGUCGGAUUAGCUAGUUGGCGGGGUAAAGGCCCACCAAGGCGACGAUCCGUAGCUGGUCUGAGAGGAUGAUCAGCCACACUGGAACUGAGACACGGUCCAGACUCCUACGGGAGGCAGCAGUGGGGAAUAUUGGACAAUGGGCGCAUGCCUGAUCCAGCCAUACCGCGUGGGUGAAGAAGGCCUUCGGGCUGUAAAGCCCUUUUGUUGGGAAAGAAAAGCAGCAGGUUAAUACCCCGCUGUUCUGACGGUACCCAAAGAAUAAGCACCGGCUAACUUCGUG